UAGGGAAUCUUCGGCAAUGGACGGAGGUCUGACCGAGCAACGCCGCGUGAGUGAAGAAGGUUUUCGGAUCGUAAAGCUCUGUUGUAAGAGAAGAACGAGUGCGAGAGUGGAAAGUUCACACUGUGACGGUAUCUUACCAGAAAGGGACGGCUAACUACGUGCCAGCAGCCGCGGUAAUACGUAGGUCCCGAGCGUUGUCCGGAUUUAUUGGGCGUAAAGCGAGCGCAGGCGGUUAGAUAAGUCUGAAGUUAAAGGCUGUGGCUUAACCAUAGUACGCUUUGGAAACUGUUUAACUUGAGUGCAAGAGGGGAGAGUGGAAUUCCAUGUGUAGCGGUGAAAUGCGUAGAUAUAUGGAGGAACACCGGUGGCGAAAGCGGCUCUCUGGUCUGUAACUGACGCUGAGGCUCGAAAGCGUGGGGAGCGAACAGGAUUAGAUACCCUGGUAGUCCACGCCGUNNCGAUGAGUGCUAGGUGUUGGAUCCUUUCCGGGAUUCAGUGCCGCAGCUAACGCAUUAAGCACUCCGCCUGGGGAGUACGACCGCAAGGUUG
rnacentral:rRNA from 1 species